UACAGAGGGUGCGAGCGUUGUUCGGAAUCACUGGGCGUAAAGCGCACGUAGGCGGAUUGUUAAGUCAGGGGUGAAAUCCUGGAGCUCAACUCCAGAACUGCCUUCGAUACUGAGAGUCUCGAGUCCGGGAGAGGUGAGUGGAACUGCGAGUGUAGAGGUGAAAUUCGUAGAUAUCGCAAGAACACCAGUGGCGAAGGCGGCUCACUGGCCCGGUACUGACGCUGAGGUGCGAAAGCGUGGGGAGCAAACAGG
rnacentral:rRNA from 1 species